rnacentral:rRNA from 1 species
AGUGAACGCUGGCGGUAGGCCUAACACAUGCAAGUCGAACGGCAGCACAGUAAGAGCUUGCUCUUACGGGUGGCGAGUGGCGGACGGGUGAGGAAUACAUCGGAAUCUACUUUUUCGUGGGGGAUAACGUAGGGAAACUUACGCUAAUACCGCAUACGACCUACGGGUGAAAGCAGGGGAUCUUCGGACCUUGCGCGAUUGAAUGAGCCGAUGUCGGAUUAGCUAGUUGGCGGGGUAAAGGCCCACCAAGGCGACGAUCCGUAGCUGGUCUGAGAGGAUGAUCAGCCACACGGGAACUGAGACACGGUCCAGACUCCUACGGGAGGCAGCAGUGGGGAAUAUUGGACAAUGGGCGCAAGCCUGAUCCAGCCAUACCGCGUGGGUGAAGAGGGCCUUCGGGUUGUAAAGCCCUUUUGUUGGGAAAGAAAAGCAGCAGGUUAAUACCCCGCUGUUCUGACGGUACCCAAAGAAUAAGCACCGGCUAACUUCGUG